rnacentral:rRNA from 1 species
UACGUAGGGUGCAAGCGUUGUCCGGAAUCAUUGGGCGUAAAGGGCGCGUAGGCGGCGCGGGUAGUCGUCGGUGAAAGCUCAGGGCUCAACCCUGAGUCGGCCGGUGAUACUCCCGUGCUUGAGCACUGUAGAGGCAGGUGGAAUUCCGGGUGUAGCGGUGGAAUGCGUAGAGAUCCGGAAGAACACCGGUGGCGAAGGCGGCCUGCUGGGCAGUAGCUGACACUGAGGCGCGACAGCGUGGGGAGCAAACAGG